AGAGUUUGAUCCUGGCUCAGGACGAACGCUGGCGGCGUGCUUAACACAUGCAAGUCGAACGAAGCUUGAUUACGGAUUCUUCGGAUGAAGUAUGAUAUGACUGAGUGGCGGACGGGUGAGUAACGCGUGAGUAACCUGCCCUUCAGAGGGGGAUAGCGUUUGGAAACGAACGGUAAUACCGCAUAAUGUAUUUUGACCGCAUGAUCGAAAUACCAAAGAUUUAUCGCUGAAGGAUGGACUCGCGUCUGAUUAGGUAGUUGGUGGGGUAACGGCCUACCAAGCCGACGAUCAGUAGCCGGACUGAGAGGUUGAUCGGCCACAUUGGGACUGAGACACGGCCCAGACUCCUACGGGAGGCAGCAGUGGGGAAUAUUGCACAAUGGGCGCAAGCCUGAUGCAGCAACGCCGCGUGAAGGAAGACGGUUUUCGGAUUGUAAACUUCUGUUCUUAGUGAAGAAUAAUGACGGUAGCUAAGGAGCAAGCCACGGCUAACUACGUGCCAGCAGCCGCGGUAAUACGUAGGUGGCAAGCGUUGUCCGGAAUUACUGGGUGUAAAGGGAGCGCAGGCGGGUGAUCAAGUCAGCUGUGAAAACUACGGGCUUAACCCGUAGACUGCAGUUGAAACUGUUCAUCUUGAGUGAAGUAGAGGUUGGCGGAAUUCCGAGUGUAGCGGUGAAAUGCGUAGAUAUUCGGAGGAACACCGGUGGCGAAGGCGGCCAACUGGGCUUUAACUGACGCUGAGGCUCGAAAGUGUGGGGAGCAAACAGGAUUAGAUACCCUGGUAGUCCACACUGUAAACGAUGAUUGCUAGGUGUGGGGGGUCUGACCCCUUCCGUGCCGGAGCUAACGCAAUAAGCAAUACACCUGGGGAGUACGACCGCAAGGUUGAAACUCAAAGGAAUUGACGGGGACCCGCACAAGCAGUGGAUUAUGUGGUUUAAUUCGAAGCAACGCGAAGAACCUUACCAGCACUUGACAUCCAACUAACGAAAUAGAGAUAUAUUAGGUGCCCUUCGGGGAAAGUUGAGACAGGUGGUGCAUGGUUGUCGUCAGCUCGUGCCGUGAGGUGUCGGCUUAAGUGCCAUAACGAGCGCAACCCCUCUCCUUAGUUGCCAUCAGGUUAAGCUGGGCACUCUGGGGACACUGCCACCGUAAGGUGUGAGGAAGGUGGGGAUGACGUCAAAUCAGCACGGCCCUUACGUCCGGGGCUACACACGUGUUACAAUGGCAGGUACAGAGAGACGGUUGUACGUAAGUACGAUCAAAUCCUUAAAGCCUGUCUCAGUUCGGACUGGGGUCUGCAACCCGACCCCACGAAGCUGGAUUCGCUAGUAAUCGCGCAUCAGCCAUGGCGCGGUGAAUACGUUCCCGGGCCUUGUACACACCGCCCGUCAAGCCAUGAAAGCCGGGGGCGCCUAAAGUCCGUGACCGUAAGGAGCGGCCUAGGGCGAAACUGGUAAUUGGGGCUAAGUCGUAACAAGGUA
rnacentral:rRNA from 1 species